GAAGUCGUUGAUGAUGGAAUGGAUGAUCUACAUUGUUGCGACCAUCUCCAGCAUGUUUGGUUUGAUACUUUCGAAAGAAGAGGGGAGGGGGAUCUUUGAUUCCCUGUUUCUUCGGACCCUUCAACAUUUCUUCGAUAAAUAUCGAACCAAAUUUGCCGGCCGAACAGAUCCAUGCCACUGUUAACAACUCCGUCGACGACAUCUACAAUCGCCGUUUUGAUCUUUUCGAAAGAAAAGGGGAGGGGAAUCUUUGAUUCCCCGUUUCUUCGGACCCUUCAAUAUUUCUUCGAAAAUGUCAAAUCAAAUUUGCCGGCCGAAUAGAACCGUGCCAUCGUCAACAACUUCGCCGACGACAUCUACAGCAUC
rnacentral:lncRNA from 1 species